UACCAGCACCCCGAGUGGUCGGGACGAUUAUUGGGCCUAAAGCAUCCGUAGCCGGUUCCGCAAGUCUUCCGUUAAAUCCACCUGCUCAACAGAUGGGCCGCGGAGGAUACCGCGGAGCUAGGAGGCGGGAGAGGCAAACGGUACUCAGUGGGUAGGGGUAAAAUCCAUUGAUCCACUGAAGACCACCAGUGGCGAAGGCGGUUUGCCAGAACGCGCUCGACGGUGAGGGAUGAAAGCUGGGGGAGCAAACCGG
rnacentral:rRNA from 1 species